UCAAAAGUCCAUUUUGUUCUCAAACGCAGCAGCGAGCGGAUGUUUUAUUCGUAAAAGUUCAUUUUGGAAUAAUCUUUCAACUUCACAAGUUUUUAUCAUGUAGUUCAAAGAACGUAAGUCGAUCAACCAAUUCCCUUGGUGUCGACAGAAAUCUGGAAUAAUCGAACGCUGGAAAGCGGAAACGGAAUGUUCGGAGCACGUGCGUUGGAAUGCUACCUGCAAUGACCCGGAAAGAUCCCACGCUGUUUCCGGUUGAUUUUCGCUUUCUCUGGAAAUGAAAAUAUGGGUCCAGCAAGCGUUCUAGAGCAGUGAAGCGCUAAUGGAUUUGCCUGACACCCCAUACUAAGUACAUCCAAAGGAAACAUUCUUCAUCCCAAGAAAACAAUGGCAAAUCGACAUAACUAACGACAAAUUUAUUGAAUAAUUGAAUUGAAUAAAAUCAAACAAAACAA